GACUUCCCUUACUUAUGCCUUCGGGGGCCUAAGGCACACCCGAAACGCAUGCAUGUUCGGCGGUCGAACUUUGAGUUUCGGCGGCCGAACCUGAGUUUUCCUCCAAGGUUGUUUUCAUGCACAAACACAUUUCCUUUCAACUUAAAAACAUCAAAUACAUUAAAACAUUUCAUGAAAACAUGGUUUUACCCUUCUAGAGGUCUCCGACAUCCGAAGUUCCACCGGACGGUAGGAAUUCCGAUACCGGAGUCUAGCCGGGUAUUACAU
rnacentral:lncRNA from 1 species